UACAGAGGUCUCAAGCGUUGUUCGGAUUCAUUGGGCGUAAAGGGUGCGUAGGCGGCGCGGUAAGUCGGGUGUGAAAUCUUGGAGCUUAACUCCGAAACUGCAUUCGAUACUGCCGUGCUUGAGGACUGGAGAGGAGACUGGAAUUUACGGUGUAGCGGUGAAAUGCGUAGAUAUCGUAAGGAAGACCAGUGGCGAAGGCGGCUUUCUGGUCUGUAACUGGCGCUGAGGCGCGAAAGCGUGGGUAGCAAACAGG
rnacentral:rRNA from 1 species